AGGCAGCAGUGGGGAAUAUUGGGCAAUGGCCGAGAGGCUGACCCAGCCAUGCCGCGUGCAGGAUGAAGGCUUUCUGAGUCGUAAACUGCUUUUACCAGGGAAGAAAAAAGGGGAUGCGUCCCCUACUGACGGUACCUGGUGAAUAAGUACCGGCUAACUCCGUGCCAGCAGCCGCGGUAAUACGGAGGGUGCAAGCGUUGUCCGGAUUUAUUGGGUUUAAAGGGUGCGUAGGCGGCCGAUUAAGUCUGGGGUGAAAGCCCGUUGCUCAACAACGGAACUGCCCCGGAAACUGGUUGGCUUGAGUACAGACGAGGGUGGCGGAAUGGACGGUGUAGCGGUGAAAUGCAUAGAUACCGUCCAGAACCCCGAUUGCGAAGGCAGCUGCCUAGACUGUAACUGACGCUGAGGCACGAAAGCGUGGGGAGCGAACAGGAUUAGAUACCCUGGUAGUCCACGCCGUAAACGAUGGAUACUCGCUGCUGGCGAUACAAUGUCAGUGGCUUAGCGAAAGCGUUAAGUAUCCCACCUGGGGAUUACGCUCGCAAGAGUGAAACUCAAAAGAAUUGACGGGGGCCCGCACAAGUGGUGGAGCAUGUGGUUUAAUUCGAUGAUACGCGAGGAACCUUACCUAGGCUAGAAUGCGCGUGACCGGCCCAGAGAUGGGCCUUUCCUUCGGGACACAAAGCAAGGUGCUGCAUGGCCGUCGUCAGCUCGUGCCGUGAGGUGUUGGGUUAAGUCCCGCAACGAGCGCAACCC
rnacentral:rRNA from 1 species